UCGGUUCCGGUUCACGCCUGUCACCUCCACAGAUCGGAGGGGCGACCCGGGGCC
rfam:Mycobacterium phlei DSM 43239 = CCTG 21000 Contig18, whole genome shotgun sequence.